GUGCUGUCCCCGGGGGCUGCUUUGAUUGUGGUGGCUGAGGACACACGCGUCUCCAGGCCCCCAGUGAAGGUGCCAAGACCUCACCGAGCAGAGCUUGGCCUUUCCUGUCAGUCAGUACCUCCUCACGAAGCCUGUAUCUGUUUCCACAGCUAUGAGGGGCCACCUGUGUGGGGACGAACUGAAAAGUGAACAGUUGUCAAUUUCUCUUUAUCUUCCCAAGAUCUCUCCUAGUCCUAUAGAAAUGUUGACUCCAAGGUAUGAAUCAUAUGGAGCAGUACAUGUAUGAAGAAAGACUAUUGUAUAUUCACUCAAUUGUACACAAAUGACAUUUGUUCAUACCAUGUACACGGAGCAUUGGGGAAAAAUAUCUUAGCACCUUCUUGCAGAAAUAAAGAGUGUCUUUUUGACAAGGGUAGAAGCUUGUU